rnacentral:tRNA from 1 species
ACGUUUUUAGUUUAAAAUAGGAAAAAACAUUAGUCUUCUAAAUUAAAUAUGAAGGUUCGAGUCCUUCAAAACGUG